UGGAGAGUUUGAUCCUGGCUCAGGACGAACGCUGGCGGCGUGCCUAAUACAUGCAAGUCGAGCGGACCGACGGGAGCUUGCUCCCUUAGGUCAGCGGCGGACGGGUGAGUAACACGUGGGUAACCUGCCUGUAAGACUGGGAUAACUCCGGGAAACCGGGGCUAAUACCGGAUGCUUGAUUGAACCGCAUGGUUCCAAUCAUAAAAGGUGGCUUUCAGCUACCACUUACAGAUGGACCCGCGGCGCAUUAGCUAGUUGGUGAGGUAACGGCUCACCAAGGCGACGAUGCGUAGCCGACCUGAGAGGGUGAUCGGCCACACUGGGACUGAGACACGGCCCAGACUCCUACGGGAGGCAGCAGUAGGGAAUCUUCCGCAAUGGACGAAAGUCUGACGGAGCAACGCCGCGUGAGUGAUGAAGGUUUUCGGAUCGUAAAACUCUGUUGUUAGGGAAGAACAAGUACCGUUCGAAUAGGGCGGUACCUUGACGGUACCUAACCAGAAAGCCACGGCUAACUACGUGCCAG
rnacentral:rRNA from 1 species